rnacentral:rRNA from 1 species
GACGAACGCUGGCGGCGUGCCUAAUACAUGCAAGUAGAACGCUGAAGAGAGGAGCUUGCUCUUCUUGGAUGAGUUGCGAACGGGUGAGCAACGCGUAGGUAACCUGCCUUGUAGCGGGGGAUAACUAUUGGAAACGAUAGCUAAUACCGCAUAACAAUGGAUGACACAUGUCAUUUAUUUGAAAGGGGCAAUUGCUCCACUACAAGAUGGACCUGCGUUGUAUUAGCUAGUAGGUGAGGUAAUGGCUCACCUAGGCGACGAUACAUAGCCGACCUGAGAGGGUGAUCGGCCACACUGGGACUGAGACACGGCCCAGACUCCUACGGGAGGCAGCAGUAGGGAAUCUUCGGCAAUGGGGGCAACCCUGACCGAGCAACGCCGCGUGAGUGAAGAAGGUUUUCGGAUCGUAAAGCUCUGUUGUAAGUCAAGAACGGGUGUGAGAGUGGAAAGUUCACACUGUGACGGUAGCUUACCAGAAAGGGACGGCUAACUACGUG